rnacentral:rRNA from 1 species
AAGAGAGAGACAUGCGCGCAUAUCAAUAAGCGGAGGAAAAGAAACUAACAAGGAUUCCCUUAGUAACGGCGAGUGAAGCGGGAAGAGCUCAAAUUUGAAAUCUUCAAGGUUUUACCUUGACGAAUUGUAGUUUAAAGAAGUGUUUUCUGCUGAAGUUUUGGUAAAAGUUCUUUGGAAUAGGACAUCAUAGAGGGUGAGAAUCCCGUAUUUGACCAUUAUUUUCAGCUUUGUGAUACACUUUCAAAGAGUCGGAUUGUUUGGGAAUGCAGUCCAAAAUGGGUGGUAAAUUUCAUCUAAAGCUAAAUAUUGGCGAGAGACCGAUAGCGAACAAGUACCGUGAGGGAAAGAUGAAAAGAACUUUGAAAAGAGAGUUAAACAGUACGUGAAAUUGUCAAAAGGGAAGCGUUUGACACCAGUGUUGUUUUCUCGAAAAUCAAUUAAAAAUGGCUCGAUUUUGUAUUGUUGAGACCUUAAAAGCUCACUGUACAUUUUUCGUGUCUUUUUUAAUGCACUUUUCGUUUAACAAGAUCAACAUCAGUUUCUUUUGUUGUAAAAGGGUCAUUGGAAGGUGGCUUUCUUUUCGGAGAAAGUGUUUAUAGCCUUUGGCCUCUGCAAUCGGAGAGACUGAGGUCUGCAGCGUAGACUCUUCGGGGUUAGAUACAUUUGUGCUAAGUUAUAGCUUUUUAUAGACAACUUGUUGACUAUAAUUAGUCUUGUAGCUUACUCGCUUAUGCUAUUUUACCUACGCUUAGGAUGUUGAAGUCAUCGUAUCGCGC